rnacentral:lncRNA from 1 species
CUGUGACCAAGGAGGAUUGCAGGGUGAAUAGACAGGGCCAGCUCCUGAGCUCACUGCUGUCCAGCCAGAGUCGGCUGACUCCUCUGCGGGCCUGUGAGGUGCUCUCUCUGCCUACCCUACAGUUCCCUACUGUAGUCUGCAGUGCACAGCCAGCCACUGAGGACUGGUCUGCGGUGCCCACACCUUACCACUGACCACUGAGCGGUCAAGGCUUUUCUGGGGACACUUGUGCAGAAUGGAAAGAAGGCAGAUGGGAAAGAGAAACGAGGAAGAGCCUUAAAAGGGGCUGUGACCUUUGGGAAGGAAGGCUGGACCACCCAAACAACCAAGCAGCUCUCUGAGAACUAGGCUGGGCUCAGGAAGAAGAGGAUGCCAGAUCAAGCCGGUCACUUCUCCAGCUGCCUCUGUACAGGCGAUCUUAUCACAAAAAGCCCGGUCACCACAGCUUCUCCAGUUCCAUCAUGGCUGACUCCUCCAGCCAGCUCGGAAUCAUCUCUUCUACUGGCAAAGAUCUGAGUGCGAGGAAGAAGACCAGAGUGUCAUGGUGGCUAAGGGGAGAAACCAGCAUAACUUGUCAGUCACUCUCAUGCGGUAGGCCCAUGCGUUUACCCCUGCUUUAAUUAAGCCUUUUGUGCCUAG